AUUGAACGCUGGCGGCAUGCUUUACACAUGCAAGUCGAACGGCAGCGCGGGCUUCGGCCUGGCGGCGAGUGGCGAACGGGUGAGUAAUGCAUCGGAACGUGCCCAGUAGUGGGGGAUAGCCCGGCGAAAGCCGGAUUAAUACCGCAUACGACCUGAGGGUGAAAGCGGGGGACCGAAAGACCUCGCGCUAUUGGAGCGGCCGAUGUCGGAUUAGCCAGUUGGUGGGGUAAAGGCUUACCAAGGCGACGAUCCGUAGCUGGUCUGAGAGGACGACCAGCCACAGUGGGACUGAGACACGGCCCAGACUCCUACGGGAGGCAGCAGUGGGGAAUUUUGGACAAUGGGGGCAACCCUGAUCCAGCCAUGCCGCGUGCGGGAAGAUGGCCUUCGGGUUGUAAACCGCUUUUGUUCGGGAAGAAAUCCUCUGGGCUAAUACCCCGGGGGGAUGACGGUACCGGAAGAAUAAGCACCGGCUAACUACGUG
rnacentral:rRNA from 1 species